UAUUAAAUUUAACUUUUGUACAAAUGUACAAUGUGACUUUUGGCAGGACUGUAGAUAAAGUCUGAAGUCUACCUCUGUGUCGUGCUUUUCAGGAGUUUGCAGACAAUCUUCAGGGUAAAGGGAUUCAUGGAGCUGUGAUGGCUCUGGACCCGUCCUUUGACACAGACACCAUGGCCAAAGCCCUGGGGAUCCCCAGCAACAAACACAUGCUGCAUCGGCACCUGUACGAAGAGAUGAAAUCACUUGCCAUCCCUCACAGUUCAGAGCAGGGCAGUGAGGUUGUCGGUUCCUCUUCGCCUGUGGCUGUUAACCGCUUUGCUGAGGAGAGGGUGUCAAUGAGAAAAUCGGGAAAGAGUCCGCUGAGGUUACGUGCAAACAGCCACUCUGUAGAGCGAGGUCUAGGCUUCCACGGCACCUGCGGCUCUCCGCCCAGAGAGGCCCGAGUUCAUGCCGUGCCCCGGGCCAAAGGCAGCCCAAUGCACACAUACAAGAGUGUUGAAAUCACCAACGUCUGAAACAGCCUCAGCCAUCCAGAUCACACUGUUGUUUCUAUUGUUUACACUGUUAUUGUAUAGUUGUUUACUACUGAGAGUGACCUGCACUCAGUAUCGCUGGACUUUUAAGUGGAAGUCCUAAAGGGGUGUACCACUUGAUUUAAUAAUUCAAUUAUAUCAUUAUUUUGGCCAAUAUAAGAAUAACGCAUACUCUGAACAGAAACAAAGAUAAUUUUUUAACCUGAUGGAGCUGUUGUAAAUAUAUUGAAGAGGGAGCAUGUUUUGUUUUGUUUAGUUUUUCCAACUAAAUGUCCAAAUGAGUUUUAUAUUAUGAGUUUAUUGAAGGCUUAAGAAUAACCUACAAAAAUAACUGAACACAGUGUUGUUCUCUUUUGAUGCCUUAUAUAAAAUAGGUCUCACAGCACUGAUGUUUACUGCUCUUCUCUUUCAACUAUGGCUAACAUGUCAGUAAAUGAAUAAUUGUGCUUAAGAUGUAGGAAAAAAAGUCAUUACAGUAUAACUUGCUUUCACUAUAGUGAUGCAUAUCCGCUGUUAAUCUUCUGAGGAGACCUGAACUGUGUCAGGUCAACAGCUCUACAUAUUUGACUGAGAUGUUGUUUGUUGUCACAGUGUUUAAUCAUUGCUGUAAUGAUAGUAAACCUUAGUUUAAAACAUUAAAAGAUAUUACAUUUGGAGGAGCUAAAAUUGGCAAAAAAGUGCAACUUGUAUGACAAUCUUUAACAUGAAUUAUAUCUUUUGAAAAAAAAAUCCAUCUUCUCAUUAGUGUUACAUAAUGUAUUAUUUUAAUUAAAGAACUGAAGAUGUUUUUCCUUUUGAAUGUGAAGGUUGAUGAAUUUUGUUUUAACAAAGCUCUUCCCAUUUACAAUAUGUAGAUUAAACAUACAGUUUAAUGUUCGGUUUUGAAAGUGAUAAUGUGUACAAAAAUGCAAGCAAAUGAUCUCCACAUGUUUAUACUGUACUGUAUAAGCACUGAAGAAAAGGCAAUGCUGUUAAUUAUGCACUUAAAUGAGAGAAUGUAAUGGUAUAUUUUGUACAGUUUAAUCAUGUUUUAUCAGACACAGUUGUAUAAAGUUUGUUCCUGAGCAUGAAAACACACGUAUGAAAUAUCACAGGGACACACUGUGUGCAACCGAAUGCCUGAGGUCAAUCCAAAUAGUAGAAAGCAGGUUUGUCUGCCUGCCACUUUCUGGGUGUCUCCUUCAGUCACCAAAAGCGGGAACAUUAGACCAGUUCAAACCUGUAUGGAAACAGAAGGGGAGGACUCAAAUGGGGUUUGCUUUUUAAUAUGACUUCACCCAGCUGUCAGAGCUUCUAAUGUACUCAACAUUAAAUCAACAAUAAAGGUGAAAUUAUUGUCAACU
rnacentral:lncRNA from 1 species